GGUGAAUGGAGCGACCAUGGUGGCUUGAGCCGGGGAGGUAACCACAGCGGCGGAGGAGAGCAUAGAGGAAGCCAUUACUACAACUUCUUCUUGUUUUUUCUCUUCUUCUUUUUUUUUUCUCUUUUCUCUUACUUUACUACUUGUCUGCCUAUUGAUCUGGUCAUCUUUAUAUAGUGAGAACCACAAGAGGCAAAAAGCCCUACAGUGAUCAAAGGGUCCAUCAUUCAUGAUACGGUCAUUAGCUGCCACAGAAUUAAGGAAAGGUGUUGACACCCUUAUCGAUACGGGCCACUAGGAUAAGGCCAUGUGGCAGAAAACUCCAUUUUCUUAUCUUUCUAUUGUGGGGAAAGACGAGUGAGUU
rnacentral:lncRNA from 1 species